AAAGAGAGAUUUUAGGUUAGAAGCUCACACUCUAAUAUGGUAUCAGAGCCCGAUCCGCACAUACUCAACCCGAUCCACAUCGGUCCGGCCCAAUACUUGCCCCGUCGAUCCAUGCCCAAACAUAUCGAGAUCAAUGGCUAGAAGAGCCAUCAUCUCGAGGGGGCGUAUUAGGGACAAUGUCCCACAUCGGAAGUUGAGUAGGAUCUUAAGUGGUAUAUAUAAGAUAUGAGUCUCUCCACCUAUUGCCAAUUGAUUUUAGGUUGGAACCCCACACUCUAAUACUUAUGUGUCAAACACACAAUUAUUAUCAUCAUU
rnacentral:sRNA from 1 species